UAGAGUUUGAUUGGCUCAGAACGAACGCUGGCGGCAUGCCUAACACAUGCAAGUCGAACGAACCCUUCGGGGUUAGUGGCGCACGGGUGCGUAACGCGUGGGAAUCUGCCCUUUGCUUCGGAAUAACUCAGGGAAACUUGUGCUAAUACCGGAUGAUGUCUUCGGACCAAAGAUUUAUCGGCAAGGGAUGAGCCCGCGUAGGAUUAGGUAGUUGGUGGGGUAAAGGCCUACCAAGCCGACGAUCCUUAGCUGGUCUGAGAGGAUGAUCAGCCACACUGGGACUGAGACACGGCCCAGACUCCUACGGGAGGCAGCAGUGGGGAAUAUUGGACAAUGGGCGCAAGCCUGAUCCAGCAAUGCCGCGUGAGUGAUGAAGGCCCUCGGGUCGUAAAGCUCUUUUACCAGGGAUGAUAAUGACAGUACCUGGAGAAUAAGCUCCGGCUAACUCCGUGCCAGCGCCGCGGUAAUAC
rnacentral:rRNA from 1 species